UUUUUCCUACGGGAGGCAGCAGUGGGGGAUAUUGGACAAUGGGGGAAACCCUGAUCCAGCGAUGCCGCGUGAGGGAAGAAGGUUUUCGGAUUGUAAACCUCUGUGGAGGGGGACGAUAAUGACGGUACCCCUUUAGGAAGCCACGGCUAACUACGUGCCAGCAGCCGCGGUAAUACGUAGGUGGCGAGCGUUGUCCGGAAUUACUGGGUGUAAAGGGAGCGUAGACGGCUGUGCAAGUCUGAAGUGAAAUGCCGGGGCCCAACCCCGGAACUGCUUUGGAAACUGUACAGCUAGAGUGCAGGAGG
rnacentral:rRNA from 1 species